AUUGAACGCUGGCGGCAGGCCUAACACAUGCAAGUCGAACGAGUGGCGGACGGGUGAGUAAUGUCUGGGAAACUGCCCGUUGGAGGGGGAUAACUACUGGAACCGGUAGCUAAUACCGCAUACCAUCGGAUGUGCCCAGAUGGGAUUAGCUAGUGGUUGGGGUAAAGGCUCACCUAGGCGACGAUCCCUAGCUGGUCUGAGAGGAUGACCAGCCACACGGGAAUUGAGACACGGGCCAAACGCCUACGGGAGGCAGCAGGGGGGAAGAUUGCGCAAUGGGGGCAAGCCUGUUGCAGCCAUGCCGCGGAUAUGAAGAAGGCCUUCGGGGUGGAAAGUAUUUUCAGCGGGAAGGCGGUAACCGAAGAAGAAGCACCGGCGAAAUCCGUGCCAGCAGCCGCGGUAAUUC
rnacentral:rRNA from 1 species